GGACUUCAUACUGACACAUUAAAAAGUGAAAUAACUAAAACCAGCAGAUGACUGCCCUCCAUGGAAUGAGUUUGGACACCUUCUGAUCUAGUGCCUUUCGACAGAAGCACAGAUCCAGGAACAGUCUCCAUUUCCUCAACCUUAACUAGUGUAGUAUAAGUUAACUACUAGGGGGGGGGAUCUGCAUGAAAACUGACCUGAGAUCAGUGUCGUGUUUUAUAAGAUGACCACUUCCUCUCUUUUACAGGUGACAUUCCUUUCCUCCUUAAACAUGUGUCGCUUUGUAUUCCUUCCCCCACUGAUUCAGUAGCAGGAAGGAGUUUUGAGGUGUCGCGUUGUAUUCCUUCCCCCACUGAUUCAGUAGCAGGAAGGAGUUUUGAGGUGUCGCGUUGUAUUCCUCCCCCCACUGAUUCAGUAGCAGGAAGGAGUUUUGAGGUGUCACGUUGUAUUCCCUCCCCCACUGAUUCAGUAGCAGGAAGGAGUUUUGAGGUGUCGCGUUUUAUUCCCUCCCCCACUGAUUCAGUAGCAGGAAGGAGUUGAGGUGUCGCGUUUUAUUCCCUCCCCCCCACUGAUUCAGUAGCAGGAAGGAGUUUUGAGGUGUUACGAUAUCAUAGAGCCUUUUAGCGUCACAGAAUACCAGUCUACUGAUAGCAUUAAUACAACGUUUGUUAGUUUGUACAUAUACCAGUAAUAGGAUCC
ensembl:lncRNA